CUACGGGGGGCUCCAGUGGGGAAUAUUGGACGAUGGGGGAAACCCUGAUCCAGCAAUGCCGCGUGUGUGAAGAAGGCCUGCGGGUUGUAAAGCACUUUCGGUUGGGAGGACUGCUUCUAGCACUAAUAUUGUUGGAAGUUGACGUUACCUUCAGAAGAAGCACCGGCUAACUCCGUGCCAGCAGCCGCGGUAAUACGGAGGGUGCAAGCGUUAAUCGGAAUUACUGGGCGUAAAGCGCGCGUAGGCGGCUAGAUCAGUCGGGUGUGAAAGCCCCGGGCUUAACCUGGGAACUGCAUCCGAUACUGUCUAGCUUGAGUACAGGAGAGGAGAGUGGAAUUCCACAUGUAGCGGUGAAAUGCGUAGAUAUGUGGAGGAACACCAAUGGCGAAGGCAGCUCUCUGGCCUGAUACUGACGCUGAGGCGCGAAAGCGUGGGGAGCAAACAGGAUUAGAUACCCCUGUAGUC
rnacentral:rRNA from 1 species